rnacentral:rRNA from 1 species
GUGUUCCUUCCUAUAUCUACGCAUUUCACCGCUACACAGGAAAUUCCACCACCCUCUACCGUACUCUAGCUUGCCAGUUUUGGAUGCAGUUCCCAGGUUGAGCCCGGGGCUUUCACAUCCAACUUAACAAACCACCUACGCGCGCUUUACGCCCAGUAAUUCCGAUUAACGCUUGCACCCUCUGUAUUACCGCGGCUGCUGGCACAGAGUUAGCCGGUGCUUAUUCUGUCGGUAACGUCAAAACAGCAAGGUAUUAACUUACUGCCCUUCCUCCCAACUUAAAGUGCUUUACAAUCCGAAGACCUUCUUCACACACGCGGCAUGGCUGGAUCAGGCUUUCGCCCAUUGUCCAAUAUUCCCCACUGCUGCCUCCCGUAGGAGUCUGGACCGUGUCUCAGUUCCAGUGUGACUGAUCAUCCUCUCAGACCAGUUACGGAUCGUCGCCUUGGUGAGCCAUUACCCCACCAACUAGCUAAUCCGACCUAGGCUCAUCUGAUAGCGCAAGGCCCGAAGGUCCCCUGCUUUCUCCCGUAGGACGUAUGCGGUAUUAGCGUUCCUUUCGAAACGUUGUCCCCCACUACCAGGCAGAUUCCUAGGCAUUACUCACCCGUCCGCCGCUGAAUCAAGGAGCAAGCUCCCGUCAUCCGCUCGACUUGCAUGUGUUAGGCCUGCCGCCAGCGUUCAUCU